AAGUCGUAACAAGGUUUCCGUAGGUGAACCUGCGGAAGGAUCAUUAAAGAGAAUUGAGCCGUAAAAAAGCUCGAACCUCCAACCCUUUGUUUAUCUUACCAAUGUUGCCUUGGCGGGUCGUUAAUCUCUGUAAUUUACAGAGGUUGCCUCGAGCGUCCUAGGAUGCUUUAGUGUACCCGCCGCCGGGCCAACCAAAUAAACUCUUUGUAAACCUAGUUAUUCUGAGAGUAAAUUAAAUACUUCAAAACUUUCAACAACGGAUCUCUCGGUUCUA
rnacentral:misc_RNA from 1 species